AACGCACCUUGCACCCUUUGGUAUUCCGAAGGGUAUGCCCGUUUGAGUGUCAUUGUAAUCUCACACCCUAAGAUUUUUCGAAGGGCGGUGGACUUGGAUGUUGCCGCGUUAAGCGGCUCGUCUUAAAUGCAUUAGUGCAACUUUCGGUUGGACAUAGUACAGCGUGAUAAGUAUCUUCGCUGGCUCUCUUCGGAGGUGUUCGAACGUUUAGCUCUGUGCUUCUAACUGUCCCCUUGGGACUAAGCUUCGGCUUAUUUUGACAACUUGACCUCAAAUCGGGUAGGACUACCCGCUGAACUUAA
rnacentral:misc_RNA from 1 species